UACGGGGGGAGCAAGCGUUGUUCGGAUUUACUGGGCGUAAAGGGCGCGUAGGCGGUCAGCACAAGUCAGUUGUGAAAUCUCCGGGCUUAACUCGGAAAGGUCAACUGAUACUGUGCGACUAGAGUGCAGAAGGGGCAACUGGAAUUCUCGGUGUAGCGGUGAAAUGCGUAGAUAUCGAGAGGAACACCUGCGGCGAAGGCGGGUUGCUGGGCUGACACUGACGCUGAUGCGCGAAAGCCAGGGGAGGCAAACGGG
rnacentral:rRNA from 1 species